AUGAAUGUGAUCUUUGAAGCACACAUACGCAAGUUUGUGAUCAUCUUCCUCGACGACAUCCUGGUUUUCAAUGAGACACUAGAGGAGCAUGUGCAACAUCUACGAAUAGUCCUGGAGAUUCUUCAAGAGCAUCAAUUAUACGCCAAGCUUUCCAAAUGCUCGUUUGCUCAGGAUCACAUUGAUUACCUUGGGCAUGUCAUCUCCAAGGAUGGGGUGUCAACAAACAUCGACAAGACAGAAGCCAUGAUGAAUUGGCCCACACCAACAAAUGCUACCGAGCUCCGAGGAUUCUUGGGUCUCACAGGCUAUUAUCGCAAAUUCGUCCCACACUAUGGGAUAAUCGUCAAGCCUCUGACCCAACAGCUCACUAAGAAGGGGUUUCAGUGGACAGAGCAGGCGCAACUCGUGUUUGACACCCUCAAGCAGGCCAUGGUGACCACACCCGUUCUUGCUCUGCCCAACUUCGACAAGCCGUUCUCGAUCGAGGUUGAUGCCUGUGACACGGGCAUCGGCGCCGUUCUUGUUCAAGAAGGCCAUCCAAUUGCCUACUACAGCAAAGCUUUGGGCAUCAAGAACCAGAAAUUGUCGACAUAUGAAAAGGAAUUCCUCGUUGUCAUGAUGGCAGUGGACAAGUGGCACUCGUACCUCCAACAGGUCCCCUUCACCAUUCUCAUAGAUCACAAGAGUUUGUGCACAUUGGGAGAUCAACAACUAGAAACAGAUAUACAACGCCGGGCAAUGUCCAAAUUGGUUGGCUUGCAGUUCCACUUCCAAUACAAGUGCGGCGUUGACAACGGCACGACUGAUGCCUUGUCCAACGUCGGCACACACUUUGAGGCGGCCGCUCUCUCUCUCUCUCGGUCAACUAGCCUGGGUGCAGGAAGUGGCAAAUUCUUACGAGACAGACCAAGACGCUCAAGACUUGCUGCAACAACUCGCCCUGCACAGCCUGGAUGA
rnacentral:rRNA from 1 species